ACAAGCUUUCGGGUGAACCUCCCUUUCUCAAGUCUGUCAGAAAUGCUUCAGACUUGAGAAAGGGAGGUUCUCCCGAAAGCUUG